ensembl:miRNA
UUCAAGUAAUCCAGGAUAGGCUGUGUGUAUCCUGGAUGGCCUAUUCGUGAUUACUUGCACU